UUUCUCUUUAUUUUGUUUUCUUUCUUUUUCUUCUUCUUCUCUCAGUUUCUCAGAAAGAGGAACGAUGUAUUCUCGGUGAAUCCGACGAAGGCAGAUCUUUUCUUUCUGUUUCUGUUGAUAAAAAUUUAAUUGGUUUCCCUCUUAUGAAGAUCAGAGCCAUCCACUCCCUUUUCUCCGCCGUUUCUCGGAAACCCACCACUUGUUUCUCGUCGUGGAGGACUCAAUGGUCUCUGCUCAGCUGUGGAAGAACUGUUUCCUUGAGAAAAAAAUCUUCUUGUUGCCUCCAAAAACCACCACAGAGCAAUCAGGUUAAGUGGGAGGAGAAGAUGUGGAUAGAAACAUCAUGCCGUAUUGCAGCAUCAACAAGGCUGAGAAGAGUUGAUGUGGGAAGGAAUCAGUGUUGUCAUUGUAAGUAAUCAACUAUUAUUUUUGUUUUUGGUUUCUUAGGGUAAAGGCUUCAUUUUUGGUUUGGUUAAAGGAAACAGUAUGUUCUGAUGAACAGAGAUUGUUGGAAGCUUCAAUGGCUUGUGUUGAAAUCCGAUCCUCAAUGAUGAAGAAUUUGAUCAGCUCAAACUCAAAGUUAAGAUGGAUGGUAGUGAGAUUGUGUGUGAGGGUCCAAGGUGCAGUCUAGGUAGUAAGAAGGAAAGCAAUGUUGUGAUCAAGCAAAGUUGGGGAACAAAUACCCAUUACUCAAAGCAUUGAAUUCAAGGUCAAAGUCAAGAAUGUUGGUGCCAGUUUUGUCAAGGUUAAACUCCACUGCUCUUAACUUAAUUCUAUUGUCUUGCUUUCUUGUUUAUUGCGUUCACAUGUGGAUAGUAGUUGAUAGUGAUGAAUGCUGGUUAGAGUUAGAUUGUUGUUAGUGAAUAUAGGUGUGAUUAAUGCUUGUUUUAGGACACGUUUUAGUUGAUAGUGAUGAAUGUGAUGAAUGCUUGUGUGGUAUUUUUUUUUCCUUAAGAAUUCUUAAUUAAGAAACCUCCAAUGGAACACAAAAUUUAUAAGUUUCUUAACUAAAUUUCUUAACUAACUUUUAUUAUUAAACAAGUCAUUAAGAAACUCA